rnacentral:misc_RNA from 2 species
AAGUCGUAACAAGGUUUCCGUAGGUGAACCUGCGGAAGGAUCAUUAUUGAAUGAACUUGGCGUGAUUGUAGCUGGCCCUCUUGGGGGCAUGUGCACAUCCGUCAUCUUUAUCUCUCCACCUGUGCACACUUUGUAGGUCUGGAAUAACUUUCCGAGGAAACUCGGUCGUAGGGACUGCUGUCAAGGCUUUCCUUGCAUUUUCCAGGUCUAUGUUUUCAUAUACACCAUAAGAAUGUAAUAGAAUGUUUUUAUUGGGCCUUGUUGCCUAUAAACUAUAUACAACUUUCAGCAACGGAUCUCUUGGCUCUC